GAUGAACGCUGGCGGCGUGCCUAAUGCAUGCAAGUCGAGCGAACAGACGAGGAGCUUGCUCCUCUGACGUUAGCGGCGGACGGGUGAGUAACACGUGGAUAACCUACCUAUAAGACUGGGAUAACUUCGGGAAACCGGAGCUAAUACCGGAUAAUAUAUUGAACCGCAUGGUUCAAUAGUGAAAGACGGUUUUGCUGUCACUUAUAGAUGGAUCCGCGCCGCAUUAGCUAGUUGGUAAGGUAACGGCUUACCAAGGCAACGAUGCGUAGCCGACCUGAGAGGGUGAUCGGCCACACUGGAAUUGAGACACGGUCCAGACUCCUACGGGAGGCAGCAGUAGGGAAUCUUCCGCAAUGGGCGAAAGCCUGACGGAGCAACGCCGCGUGAGUGAUGAAGGUCUUCGGAUCGUAAAACUCUGUUAUUAGGGAAGAACAAAUGUGUAAGUAACUAUGCACGUCUUGACGGUACCUAAUCAGAAAGCCACGGCUAACUACGUG
rnacentral:rRNA from 1 species